UACGAAGGGGACUAGCGUUGUUCGGAUUUACUGGGCGUAAAGCGCGCGUAGGCGGAUCGCUAAGUCGGGGGUGAAAUCCUGGAGCUCAACUCCAGAACUGCCUUCGAUACUGGCGAUCUUGAGUCCGGGAGAGGUGAGUGGAACUCCGAGUGUAGAGGUGAAAUUCGUAGAUAUUCGGAAGAACACCAGUGGCGAAGGCGGCAUCCUGGACCGACACUGACGCUGAGGAGCGAAAGCCAGGGGAGCAAACGGG
rnacentral:rRNA from 1 species